GCUGGCAUAGCUCAGUUGGUAGAGCGCCGGUUUUGUACUCCGGAUGUCGCGGGUUCGAAUCCUGUUGCCAGCUCCA
rnacentral:tRNA from 1 species